rnacentral:lncRNA from 1 species
UGCCAAUUGGUACUAUUGGAUUUCGUCCUAGCACUUCAAAGAAGCUAGAACUCAGCCCCCUACAAUUGGGAGUAGUGGUGGUUUAGUCAUAACCCUAAUGACGGGCUAUUAGCCCCAAUUUUGCUGCUACAAGAUCUAAGGAAGCAGAGCUUACUAAUGUAAUUGAUGGCAAUGAAGGUAAAGCUGGAAUUUCAACAGCUGUCCCACCAGUGAAGGAGGAUGCGC